rnacentral:misc_RNA from 1 species
GCUACAUGUUCUAAAUCAGAUGACAGAUACAGAAAUGAUAUCAUUUACAUUACGAAGACUCAGAUUUUCAUCUGUAUUUUUGGCUGCUUUUCCAGUUCUUUUAAGGAAAUAUAUAAAGGUUCUUCUUCAUUUCUGGGGUACAGGCGGAGGUGCACUACCAGUUGUCUCUUUUUUAUUUCUAAGGGAUCUCUGUAUACAGCUUGGCUCUGAUUGCAUUGACGAGUGCAUUAGAGGGAUGUAUAAAGCUUAUUUAUUGAACUGCCAAUUCAUGAAUGCGUCAAAGCUGCAGCAUAUUCAAUUUCUUGGUAAUUGUUUCGUUGAACUCCUUAGGGUGGAUCUUCCCAAUGCGUACCAGCAUGCCUUUGUUUUCAUUCGGCAGUUGGCA